GCUAACUACGUGCCAGGAGCCGCGGUAAUACGUAGGGUGCAAGCGUUGUCCGGAAUUAUUGGGCGUAAAGAGCUCGUAGGCGGUUUGUCACGUCUGCUGUGAAAACGCGAGGCUCAACCUCGCGCCUGCAGUGGGUACGGGCAGACUAGAGUGUGGUAGGGGAGACUGGAAUUCCUGGUGUAGCGGUGGAAUGCGCAGAUAUCAGGAGGAACACCGAUGGCGAAGGCAGGUCUCUGGGCCACUACUGACGCUGAGGAGCGAAAGCAUGGGGAGCGAACAGGAUUAGAUACCCCGGUAGUC
rnacentral:rRNA from 1 species